CCCUUAGAUGUUCUGGGCCGCACGCGUGCUACACUGAGUGGAUCAGCGGGUCAGGUUGCGCGAAAGCGUUUCCUAAUCUUUAAAUCCGCUCGUGAUGGGGAUUGACGGUUGCAAUUUUCUGUCAUGAACGAGGAAUACCUUGUAAGCGCGGGUCAUCAUCCCGCGCUGAAUACGUCCCUGCCCUUUGUACACACCGCCCGUCGCACCUACCGAUUGAACGUUCCGGUGAGACCUUGGGAUUUGGUCUUUGGUACUUUAUUGUGCCGUUGACCGAAAAACUUGAGCAAACCUUAACGUUUAGAGGAAGGUGAAGUCGUAACA
rnacentral:rRNA from 1 species